rnacentral:tRNA from 5 species
GGGGCUGUAGCUCAGCUGGCUAGAGCACCUGCUUUGCAAGCAGGGGGUCGUGGGUUCGAGUCCCAUCAGCUCCA